rnacentral:lncRNA from 1 species
CGCCCAAACAUCUUGGCACAAGCCAAGCAUCAAGUAGAUCCAUCCUCCAGCACCGCUGAGUAAUCGUUGUCCACCAUCAAAGAGAAGAAAGGGGCGCUCGGGAGGAACAAGCGGGUCUCCAGGGAAAAUAAUAGGGAGGGAGGAAGAAAACAGGAGAGGGUUGAGUCGCAAGAGAACAAUAGGGAGGGAGGAAGAAAACAGGAGAGUGUUUAUAAAUGGAGUGCUGCUUUGCCCACUCACUAGACCAGAUUGGGUGUCACACAUAAAACACAUGACACAUGAAGCACAAGAAGCUCCAGACCGGGUUGGGUGUCACUCAUGAAACACGAAACUCUCAAAAUCUCAAGGGACCAACUCACACCGCCACAACUCACGCAAUCCCAUAUGCUUGAGACAAAACCCCAACCAGAGCUUAAAAACCCCUGCGAUCUCCCUCAAGUGCUCUCCUUCCAACACAUCUAAUAAGAGAAAACAAUGAAAAAAAAUAAUAAAAUAAAUUACAAAAACCUCCCUAAGGUUUAUAUUUAUUACACUUCCAUCCAGUAUUUAAAAAACCUAUACUUACACCUUUGAAAAAUAACGGCGUUACUUAUGAAAUGACCAAAUUACCCUCUUCCUCAGCGUUAGUAGGUAACAUUCCUCUCGGCCAUCCUCGCAGCGAAGCUCCCGACACCACCAUUGAUGUUGAAGCCAAUGCGGAUGCCGCAGCCACCCAAAGCCAAUACGUCGUCGAUCAAGAAGUCAUUUUUUCCUCUCAGCUUGAUCCACAUUUGCUUGUCAAUGGUGUUGGGGUUCUUGGCAUUGGGGUUCCAGAGGGAUCGGGGAAGGAGGAGAAGAGGGGCGCCAACAGGGGGGUGGAAGAGGCAGCGGUGGCAUGGGAGGAGCUCGCAAGCCUUGGAGAUGAGCUUGGAUGGCAGGAGGUACGGUAUGCUUGACACUAGACAAUAAGAGAUGGUAUGGCAAACCAUACUGGUACUAUUAUGCUUCUCAUGCCAAUGUCAUGCUAAUGCAUGGUAUUUCAUCUCCAUUUCCAUGUGCUGUGACCAAAAAAUUGUACAGUGUGCCAGAGUAG